rnacentral:rRNA from 1 species
GUAGGGAAUAUUGGACAAUGGGUGCAAGCCUGAUCCAGCCAUGCCGCGUGCAGGAAGAAGGCCUUCUGGGUCGUAAACUGCUUUUACCGGGGGAUAAAAUACUCUUGCGAGAGGAAUUGAAAGUACCUGGUGAAUAAGCCACGGCUAACUACGUGCCAGCAGCCGCGGUAAUACGUAGGUGGCAAGCGUUGUCCGGAUUUAUUGGGUUUAAAGGGUGCGUAGGCGGUCCUGUAAGUCAGUUGUGAAAUACGGCAGCUUAACUGUCGAGGUGCAAUUGAUACUGCAGGACUUGAGUACUGAUGAGGUAGGCGGAAUGGACGGUGUAGCGGUGAAAUGCUUAGAGAUCGUCCAGAACACCGAUAGCGAAGGCAGCUUACUAAGGAGUAACUGACGCUGAGGCACGAAAGUGUGGGGAUCAAACAGGAUUAGAUACCCUUGUAGUCC